GACGAACGCUGGCGGCGUGCCUAAUACAUGCAAGUCGAACGCAGUGGGGACGGGUGAGUAACACGUGGGUAACCUCCCAUCAGAGGGGAUAACACUUGGAAACAGGUGCUAAACCGAUACUGAUGGAUGGACCCGCGGUGCAUUAGCUAGUUGGUGAGGUAACGGCUAACCAAGGCCACGAUGCAUAGCAGAACUGGAAGGGUUAUCGGCCACAAUGGGACUGGGACACGGCCCAGACGCAUACGGGAGGCAGCAGUGGGGAAUCUUCGGCAAUGGACGAAAGUCUGACCGAGCAACGCCGCGUGAGUGAAGAAGGUUUUCGGAUCGUAAAACUCUGUUGUUAGAGAAGCGUUAUCUAACCGGAAAGCCACGGCUAACUACGUGCCAGCAGCCGCGGUAAUUC
rnacentral:rRNA from 1 species